UUUAUACUGUUUUUUGACAUCAGUUAUUAUUUAUUUAGCGUAGCAUUGUCAGUCAUUUAUUUGGACUGUGCAAAGCAAAACAUACAUAGAUUUAAAUUGCAGACAAGUGAGGGAGUCAUUAGACGCUUGUACUCAGCUCAGGUAAGUUUAGUCUCGUGUGGCUUUUUUUUUACAAAUAAUACAAUAAACACCAAAACACUACACUACAAUUAUUGUAGCCCGGAAGUAGAAUUGUAGAGCGGAGUGGUGGCUCUGAGGCUAAGGAUCUGUGCUGGUAUCCAGAAGGUUGCUGGUUCGAAUCCCCGUCACUGCCAAAAGAGAUCCUACUCUGCAGGGCCCUUAACCUGUAAUUGCUCCAGGGGCUCUGUAUAAUGGCUGACCCUGCACUCUGACCCCAAGGGGUAUGCGAAAACUAACAAAUUCCUAAUACAAGAAAUUGUAUAAGGCGAAAUAAAGAACAAAUAAAUAAGUAAGUUUGUGGAUGUUUUGUUAUGAUACAUCAAAUAAAGGCCUGCUCUUUGGACAACUAGAAAGUUAGUUUACACAGAUCCUGUAGUACUAGGGUAUCGUAUCAUGUUAGCCAUUAUGAAUAUAGUCAGAAGUCAAGGAAAAUUACACCUUUUAUUGGCUAACUAAAAAGAUUACAAUAUGCAAGCUUUUGAGGCAACUCAGACCCCUUCCUUCUUGCCUGAAGAAGAGGCCUGAGUUGCCUUGAAAGCUUGCAUAUUGUAAUCUUUUUAGUUAGCCAUUCAAAAGUGUCAUUUUGCUUGACGUCUCACUACACAGAUCCUAUAAAAAAAUGAAUCCUGUCUAAAUAACCUACAUCAAUUGGCCAUCCAGCCUCAGUCAUUCUCACUCCCCUUUUGUUUGGGUCAGCUUCUUGGGGGGGUCCAGAGCUUAUUCUCUUCUGUAUUGUUCUCCACACAACCUUAAAAACAACAGCAGCAGCAUUGAUUUCUAUAGUACAUUUUCAAAUGCAGGAUGUAGCUCAAAGUGCUUUCCAAGACGUCAAAGAAAUAAUUGUAAAAAAAGAACAACUAUUUAAAUUAGUCAGAAAUAAUAAUAAAUUAAAAAAUAUCAAAACAGGCUUACAUAAGAUUAGUUAUACAUAAAUGAAUGACCUGUAUGUUUAUGGAGUAGUCCACUGUGCUCAUGCUUAACCACAGCCACUAGAUGGCGCAUGCAUGCAUUUUUAUGUUUUUUUGGCUCUUGCAUGCACCUCACUUCUCGCUACGAAAGACGGGUGUGCAGCAAACACCUCUGUGUGACAAUGACAUUAUGCUAAUGACACAGAGGACUCAACAUUGAAGUCAACGCUCCAGCUCAACAACAUGCAAGUGAAACACCUUAGCAGUGGAGGACCAGUUUUCAUUAAAAACAUUGUCUAUCUGGAGGUGUUUUCUCAAGACAAAGAUUAAUAGGACUCCUAUGCCAGUGAUAUGACUAAGAUAUGGUAUCAUCAGAAUCUUCUUAUGAAAACCAGUGAGGCUGCCAACACAGGUGGGUCCACAUCCUCUUCCCUGGGUAAUUCUUAAGAGUUAGCUGACGCCUUUCCAAGUUCACGAAUAAAGUCAAACUACCAGGGAGUCUUCGGGUUGUGUUUUGUCCCGAAGACCACAUACAGCUAAUAUAUAUACGAUUAGCAGAAAGGUAGAGCCCUUAUAAUCUCUAAAGAUGAGUACAAUGAUAAGGUCAGAUGACAAGGAGUAAAAACUCCAAAUAUUCUGAAGAAACAAAACAAAAUCUGCAGGGGUUCAAGGCCAAAAGACCAUCCAGCCUAAAAUAAAUUUUCUUAAGUCGUUCCUCAUUAUUUCCAGGCUUCAUCUUAGAGGAUUCAAUAAAGUGAAUCUUGUGGACAGCUGGGGCAUCCGUCUUAUUUCGACUAUAAAGUGCCUCGAUCAGGUGGUUUUGGCACUCCAGAAAGAGAGAAGUCGAUAUUAGUAAUGAUUUCUGAUCCAUAAAGAAAAAGGCAUCCAUUUCAUGUCUGGUCACUGUAACUUCACUAACUCACUCAGUCCAUUCAUUCUUGAUUACUAUGUGCAGUUGGUCAGUACAACUAUAGAAAUACAUCCAGUGCCUUAGUAGCUAGUCAGUUUAGCAUGUUCCGUACAUUUUUGGUCACAGCUUUACAAGGAGCCAGAUGGCUUAUUUUUUUUUUAUUGUUCUUUAUUUCACCUUAUACAAUUUCAUGUAUUAGGAAUUUGUUAGUUUUCGCAUACCCCUUGGGGUCAGAGCGCAGGGUCAGCCAUUGUACAGCACCCCUGGAACACACAGGUUAAGGGUCUUGCUCAAGGGCCCAGCAGAGUAGGAUCUCCUUUGGCAAUGAUGGGGAUUCGAACCGGCAACCUUCUGGAUACCAGCGCAGAUCCUUAGCCUCAGAGCCACCCUUAUGGUUUAGGUUAUGGCUUAGGUGCCAGCUCUGUGGGUGCUCUGCAGUUUAGCACCACUGAGAAUUGUGACUACAAAAUAUAAAAAUAUCACACCGCAUACAUACAGUAGAUUCAGAAAGUAUUCAGCGCCUUCACUUUAUUUCAUAUUUUGCUUGGAUGCAGUCUUGUGCUAUAAUCAUAUAAAUUAUUUUUAACCUACAUUAAGCAGCUCUAAAUACCCUAGAAUGAUUAAACAAAAACAGGAUUUUAGAAAUGUGUGUAUAUUUAUUAAAAAUUGAAAUAUCACAUUGACAUUAUUCAGACCUUAUAUUUAGAAUGUAGUCGAAGCAACUUUGGUAGCGAUUAAAUCCUGAAGUCUUCUUGGAUAUGACACAACAAGCUUCAUACCCCUGGAUUUUGGGAUUUUCUGCCAUUCUCCUGUGUGGAUCUUCUCAAGCUCUGUCAGGUUGGAUGGAUGUUGGAUGUUGUUUCAUGCUCAUGCUCAGGCUCUGGCUAUAUAUAUAUAUAUAUAUAUACAUAAUUAUAUAACUAAAUUACUUUUUAUUAGCACAGUUUUCCAUACCUGAUAAUGCAGGAAAUACAAAUAUAGACAGAAUGCGAAAAAAGUGCUGGUUAUUGCAACGAAAAAGAUUGCAGUAGGCUCUCGCUCUUAUUUACAGUAGAUGCAUGUCCACAGCAACCUACAUAACGCUUAGCCCCAAUUACUCUUUAAAGUUGGCACCUAUGCCAGGGGGUAUACAGUUUUGAGCACUACAGUUUCACAAAGAAGCUCAGUCCCUUCAGUGGUGUACACCAUCACCUGAUCAGUAUAACUGUUGUGCACAGAGUGGUCACCACACACAUGAUCACUACAACUUUGCAAACCCACCACAUACGUUCACUUCUACUCAUUGUAGUUUCAUCGACCAGCUCGAUCUGUUCAGUUGCCCUCACUACACAUUGAGGAUUGGACACUAUGCUUAUCUCAUGAUUCCAAUCAUAUUUGGCCCUCAGUUCUAUAACACAUAACAUUUAGCCUACAAUUUGAUUCAUUUCAUGAUAUUUGGUUGAUGAUUAAUUUUAACUCACAACACUCAACAUUUGUCCCAUUACUCACUGUAAACUUUACGCACAUCCUAUGUGAUUUUCUUUGACCGCCGGUCAGCUGAGUUUUGUCCUGCCAUUCCAAUAUUGUAGGUCGCUGUAGUUUGGAGGCACACGUGUUUGGUAUUUAGUAAUGGAUUGUAGGUAUACUGUUUUUGAAUCUCUACCCAGUAUGGCACAGUUUGCAUUGAAGUUGAUCUCAAUUUUUGCUCAAAAUUCUUCUGAAUCAAAUUACUCGAGGCAUUCUUCUUUUUUUUCCUGAAAAUGUCUGUUCUCCUUCCAGAUUUUAAACAAUUUGAUCUUAAUCUUAAAUGUUACCCUCAAGUGACCAACAUGUCUCAAAGUACAUCUGUAGAAGUCGUUGCCCUGCAACAAGGCAAUUAGAUAGCACAGUUCAAAGUUAAAUAUACUUUUAGAAGCAAUUGAAUUGUUCAGUUUACAGUCUUAACAUAAAGUUAACCACGGUUAAUCGUUAACAACACUAGAUCAGAUAAUCCUGUAAGAGGUGUUAACAAUAAAAUAUGACGCUGCAAAACUUCAACUUCAAGUUUGUUGUCAUGUGCUUGUCUCCUCGGAACACAAAAGAACUCAAAUACUUAGAAUGCAACUUGUAUGUCUGUGUUUGUAUAAAUAUAUUCAUUUGUUUAAUUUAUUUAUAUGAAAAAUAUAUACAAUACAGUGCCGUAUAAAGUAUGUGCCCUCUUCCUGAUAUGCUCAAUUUUUGUUUAGUUAUCUCAAAGGCUUAAGAUCUUUGGACAAAAUUAAAUAUUGAAUAAAGGUAACCAGAGUAAACAUAUAACACUAUUUCUAAAUUGCUACUUAAUAUAUUCAAGUAAUAAAGUUAUCCAACACCUGUAUUGCCCAUAUGCAAAGGUAAUUACCCCUUAGUUACUUCCUCAAGUAGCUGACCAAAGUUGACUGCUAAUUCAGUUUAGCUGACUGAACACAGCCUGAAUCUUAACCUCAUAUUUAAUCCUUGCCAUGAGAGUGAAGUUGUCACCACAAGAUUUCUGCAAGACUUAAGGACAUUCUUACCAGUCAGAAAGCCAAAGGUUCUGGGACUCCACCACACCGCAGGGGGAGCCGUUAUCUUUAAAUGGAGAACUUUUGUGACAGUUGGGAUUGUUCCGAGGAAAGGCCUGUCUGACAAAAUGUCCCAUAGGGCAUAAUGGCAACUUCUUCAAGAAGUCACAGAGGAUCCCAGAUGAACAUCCAAAAAAAAAAAAAACCUGCAGACUUCUUUAGACUCCGAGAAGCUCAGUACUCAAAACUCCACGAUAAGAAAGAGACGGAGUCAAAACAGGAUUCAUGGGAGAG